UACGAAGGGGGCUAGCGUUGUUCGGAAUUACUGGGCGUAAAGGGCGCGUAGGCGGUGUGUCAAGUCAGGCGUGAAAGCCCCGGGCUCAACCUGGGAACCGCGCUUGAGACUGGCACGCUCGAGUUCGGGAGAGGAUGGUGGAAUUCCCAGUGUAGAGGUGAAAUUCGUAGAUAUUGGGAAGAACACCAGUGGCGAAGGCGGCUCACUGGCCCGGUACUGACGCUGAGGCGCGAAAGCGUGGGGAGCAAACAGG
rnacentral:rRNA from 1 species